GAAAUGCGAUAAGUAGUGUGAAUUGCAGAAUUCAGUGAAUCAUCGAAUCUUUGAACGCACAUUGCGCCCCUUGGUAUUCCAUGGGGCAUGCCUGUUCGAGCGUCAUUUGUACCUUCAAGCUCUGCUUGGUGUUGGGUGUUUGUCCCCGUCUCCGCGCGUGGACUCGCCCCAAAGUGAUUGGCAGCCGGCGUACUGGUCCCGGAGCGCAGCACAUGUCGCGCAAACGAGUGCCUUGGUACGGCGGCGUCCAUAAGCCCCUCUCUCACGCUCUUGACCUCGGAUCAGGGAGGGAUAUCUGCUGAACUCAAGC
rnacentral:misc_RNA from 1 species